AAAUGAAUAGACGGGGACCCGCACAACCAGUGGAGCGUGUGGUUUAAUUCGAGACAAAGCGAAAAACCUCACCAAGGCUUGACAUGUAAGCGUUCUAUGCCUAAGAAACUAGGCAAAUCCGUAAGGAGGUUUACACAGGUGCUGCAUGGCUGUCGUCAGCUCGUGCCGUGAGGUGUUCCCUUAAGUGGGGAAACGAGUGCAACCCUUGUCUAAUGUUAAAUAUUCAUUAGAGACUGCCUCUAUUUUUUAGAGGAGGAAGGAAAGGCGGACGUCAAGUCAGCAUGGCCCUUAUGCCUUGGGCUACACACACCCUACAAUGGCGAAUAACAAAGAGUCGCAAGUUCGUGAGGACAAGCUAAUCUCAUAAAUUUCGCCUCAGUUCAGAUUGGAGUCUGCAACUCGACUCCAUGAAGUCGGAAUUGGUAGUAAUCGCGGAUCAGCGGGCCGCGGUGAAUACGUUAUCGGGUCUUGUACACACCGCCCGU
rnacentral:rRNA from 1 species